rnacentral:rRNA from 1 species
GUGGGGAAUAUUGGGCAAUGGGCGCAAGCCUGACCCAGCAACGCCGCGUGAAGGAAGAAGGCUUUCGGGUUGUAAACUUCUUUUGACAGGGAAGAGCAGAAGACGGUACCUGUCGAAUAAGCCACGGCUAACUACGUGCCAGCAGCCGCGGUAAUACGUAGGUGGCAAGCGUUGUCCGGAUUUACUGGGUGUAAAGGGCGUGUAGCCGGGCUGACAAGUCAGAUGUGAAAUCCGGGGGCUCAACCCCCGAACUGCAUUUGAAACUGUUGGUCUUGAGUAUCGGAGAGGCAGGCGGAAUUCCUAGUGUAGCGGUGAAAUGCGUAGAUAUUAGGAGGAACACCAGUGGCGAAGGCGGCCUGCUGGACGACAACUGACGGUGAGGCGCGAAAGCGUGGGGAGCAAACAGGAUUAGAAACCCGGGUAGUCC